rnacentral:rRNA from 1 species
AACGCGUAUACAAUCUGCCUUAUACUGGGGGAUAGCCUUUGGAAACGAAGAUUAAUACCCCAUAGUAAGUGAAGAUGGCAUCAUCAUCACUUUAAAGAUUACGGUAUAAGAUGAGUAUGCGUCCUAUUAGUUUGUUGGUAAGGUAACGGCUUACCAAGACUACGAUAGGUAGGGGCCCUGAGAGGGGGAUCCCCCACACUGGUACUGAGACACGGACCAGACUCCUACGGGAGGCAGCAGUGAGGAAUAUUGGACAAUGGGCGAGAGCCUGAUCCAGCCAUGCCGCGUGCAGGAAGACGGCCCUAUGGGUUGUAAACUGCUUUUAUACAGGAAGAAACACUCCCUCGUGAGGGAGCUUGACGGUACUGUAAGAAUAAGGACCGGCUAACUCCGUGCCAGCAGCCGCGGUAAUACGGAGGGUCCGAGCGUUAUCCGGAAUCAUUGGGUUUAAAGGGUCCGUAGGCGGGCAGCUCAGUCAGUGGUGAAAGUCUGUGGCUCAACCAUAGAAUUGCCAUUGAUACUGGUUGUCUUGAAUUAUUGUGAAGUGGUUAGAAUAAGUAGUGUAGCGGUGAAAUGCAUAGAUAUUACUUAGAAUACCAAUUGCGAAGGCAGAUCACUAACAAUAUAUUGACGCUGAUGGACGAAAGCGUGGGGGAGCGAACAGGAUUAGAUACCCUGGUAGUCCACGCCGUAAACGAUGGAUACUAGCUGUUCGAGAGCAAUCUUGAGUGGCUAAGCGAAAGUGAUAAGUAUCCCACCUGGGGAGUACGUUCGCAAGAAUGAAACUCAAGGAAUUGACGGGGGCCCGCACAGCGGUGGA